UACAGAGGUCCCCCAAGCGUUGUUCGGAUUUAUUUGGGCGGUAAAGGGAGGCGUAGGCGGCGGGGUAAGUCAGGUGUUAAAAUUACGGCGCUCAACGACCGAAGCGCAUUUGUAUACUGCUCUGCUAGAGGAGUGGAGAGGAGACAGGAAUUCACGGUGUAGCAGUGAAAAUGCGUAGAUAUCGUGAGGAAGACCCCAUGGCGAAAAGCAUGUCUCUGGAAAACUA
rnacentral:rRNA from 1 species